rnacentral:rRNA from 1 species
UACAGAGGUCUCAAGCGUUGUUCGGAUUCAUUGGGCGUAAAGGGUGCGUAGGCGGCGCGGUAAGUCGGGUGUGAAAUCUCGGAGCUUAACUCCGAAACUGCAUUCGAUACUGCCGUGCUUGAGGACUGGAGAGGAGACUGGAAUUUACGGUGUAGCGGUGAAAUGCUUAGAUAUCGUCAAGAACACCUAUUGCGAAGGCAGCUAACUAAGCUUUAACUGACGCUGAGGCACGAAAGUGUGGGGAUCAAACAGG